UAGGGGCUAACUAUUAAAAGUUCUACCUACGAUAAUAUCUUCCUUUCAUAUUAGGUAGGCCAAAAUAUUUUAAAACAUAUUUUUUUGAAGAUUACUUUUUCUUAAAAAGCUGAAAAUAACUUCCUUGGCAUGCCCAGGAAAGUCAAGUUUCAUGCUCAAACCACCGGCGCCGGCGGUAGACACCUACCAAUCUCCCCUUGGUACAAACCUUACUCUUUGGUGAAGGAAUAAUUUUGUCCCUUUUGCUAAUGAAAUACAACAGACUGGUGCGUUUUUCUUCUUUUAUCUUUUUCUACCUUUCUACCUUUCUGGACAUUUUCCCAUUUUAUUUACCAAAAAUAGUACCAUUAACUGGAACCUUCAGAAUUUAGUCACUUUUAAUAGAAAAUUAAUUAAUUUGUCUUUGAUUUUUGUAUGUACAUUUUAAAAUAAAAACUAAAUAGGGAAUUUUCUUGUAAUAUUGUUAGAAAACUAUUUUUUCCCUUACAAUGGAAGAGUGAAAAAUAUUUUAGUCACCGAACAUUGAAAAUAAUUUAACUAACUAAAAAUUAGAAAUAAGUAAAGAAAUCACUUAUUUUCUAAGUAAACCUCUUAGAUGGGACAUAUCUUUCUUGGUAUCAAACACACCGUUAAAAGAAUGCAACGUUACAGUUAUAUUGUCUAUCAAGUGGCUUAAAAAAAUAUUCUAACAAACUAUACACUACACAAAGCAAUUAAUCAGUAUUUUGAGGUCUUAUGUUAUAUGCACUUCAAAAACAAUUGCUUGGUCGCAUAUAUUUUCGUUUGUUCUAUUUUUUUUUCCUAUUAUUUUAUUAUGUGAAUAAUAUUGUAACUUAUGUUAAAUUUGUUUUUUUUUUCAAAUAGUUAAAUUUACCAUUAUUUUAUCAAUAUUUGUAAUCUUUUAACUUGGAGUUAUUUGUAAAUCCAUCUUUUCGUUUAAAAACUAAAGGGUAACGUUAGGAAGGAAUGAAUUUUUUUAGGAAGGUCUUAAAAGAACAAUAAAAACAAUUCUUUUUGGUCAAAAGAAAAUUUUUAUUCAACCUGAAGUAAAUAUAUACACCAUCUGCGCGCUUAUUGAACUCUAGAGUCAUGAUCCUCGAAUAUAACCAAAAACUAAUGCAUAUAAGCAACACAUGUGCUACACUAUCAACUACUUAAUUUAUCUUCUUCGACGAAGGAUAUAAAUUAAACAGCUUCCUAUAGUGACAUAGACCACUAACAUGGAAAACUAUUUAAAACCAUCCAGAUUUUGUUUUCAUUUACAUUGCAUGUGUACUACAAUAUGCAACUGCAAUGCAAUUUCUCUAACUCCACCAAAAUUGUAUCUCCUCAUAUGUUAAAUCUUCUAUCGUCUCUUUCCAACCAAAUAUGAUGUACAACAACAGCUGCAAAUAAAAAUAGGAGUUCUUCCUGUUCACCCUCAGAGAAAGGCAUGCCACUUCUUCUUCUCAUUGAUCAAUAUGUCCCUUAAUGCCAAAUUAGCUUAACAAUUUCUGCCAGACAAGUGCAGAAUAAGAACACUCGAAUAAGAGGUAGGUAUGUGUUUUCUUCAAGGUCACCUGUGCAGUAGAGAUUUCAGUCCUCGUCGUAUUAACAUGUCCACUCUUGCUAGCCUUUUUCUGAAUUGUCAUCCAUAAAAUGAAUUGACAUCUAGGAAUAAUGUCUGUUAGCAUGAUUAAUAAUUUUCGAGGAAAUUUUGGGUGUUGUGGAUGGAAUUUUGCGUUAUGCUUCCUUGUCAUAACCCGAUAGUUCAUUUAUAGUAUUACCCUUAAUUUCUGUAUUCCGAGACCUUGAAUAGCUCCGUUAGCCUUCUUCAAUUUGUGUGCGCAGUCUGUGUCCUUACUCCGGAAGGUUUUUAUGAGAAAGUUGAAAAAAAUGUCAUGAAAUCGUGCCUUAAAACUCAUUUGAGUUGACUAUGGUCAACGUUUUGUGUACACAGACCCGAAUUAGUAUUUUGACGGUCCCGGUGGGUCCAUAUCAUAAUUUGGGACUUGGGCGUAUGACCGGAAUCGAAUUCGGAAGUCCCUAACUUGAUUUAUCAUAGUUUGUUGAAAACUAGAAGCUUAAAGUUUUAAAAACCUCAUAAGUUUGACCGUAGUUUGACUUUGUUGUUACCGGGUUUGAAUUUCGAUUUCGGAACUUGGUAUGAGUUUAUUACAUUAUUUAUGACUUGUCUGCAAAAUUUGGUGUAAAACGGAGUUGAUUUGACAUGAUUCGGUUGAGAAAUUUCAUAUUCUUAAGUUUCAUUGAGAAAUUCAUUCGUUUUGGUGUCCGAUUCAUAGUUCUAGGUAUUAUUUUGGUGUCUUGACCACGCGAGCGAGUUCUUAUAAUAUUUUUGGACUUGUGUGCAUGUUUUCUUUGGAGCCCCAAUGCUUGGGUGAGUUUCAGAUAGGUUGCGGAUAUUUUUGAACUUUAGGAAAUGCUGGUUUAGCUUCUGCUGGUUUCUGGUGCACGCUUCUUCACGAUCGCGAAGAGUCGUUUGGGACAGGGGAGGAGAUUGUUCUUCGCAAAUGCGACUGUUCCUCCGCGAACGCGAAGCAUUGUGGGUUUGGUGGAGUUGGGCUUGUGUUACGCGAACGCGAUGGUCAGAGGGAGGAACUAUCACUAACGCGGAGCACUUCUCGCGAACGCGUACAUUUGGGCCAAUGUGCAUCGCGAACACGACAGGCCCUUCGCGAACGCGAAGAAGGCCUGAUGCCCAGACCUUAAAACAUUUCAAACACGGAAUUCACCCAUUUUUCACCAUCUUUAUUUGAGCUCGGCCUAGAGGCGACUUGGAGAAGAAAUUUCAUUACCCUUACAUAUGUUAGUGUACUUUAACUUAUUUCUUCCGUUUCCAUCAUCGCCCAUUGAUUUCUAGCCUUAAUCUUUGUUCUUUCGUGGUAGAAAAUUAGGGAUUAGUAAAGAAUUGAGGGGGGGGGGGAGGGUUGGGGAUUUGCAAAUUUGGGAUUUAGACCUCAAAUUGAGGUCAGAUUUCGAAAAUAAUUACAUUAAUCGGGCUCGGAAAUUAACGGGUAAAUGGAUUUUAGUCCGAACCUCCGAUUUUGACCAAGCGGGCCUGGUAUUGACUUUUGUUGAAUUUUUUAGGAAAGUAUAAAGAUUUUAAAUUUAUGUAUUGUAAUUGAUUUCCCUAGCAUUAUUUGAUGUCAUUGAGUCGAUUUUGGUUAGAUUCGGUUGGUUCGAAGGCAGGUUUAGAGGGCCCUGGUAGAGCUUUGAUUUGCUUGCAUAGCAAGUUAAGUGUUGGUUCUAACCUUGAUUUGAGGGAAUUAGGAACCCUUGAGCUAUGUGCUAUGUGAAAUUCAUGUGUAGCAGUGUAUAUGCAAGGUGACGAUUAUAUAUAUAUGCGCCAUCAAAAUACUUGUUUCCAUGCUUUUCCCCCCGUAUUUUAUUAAGUAUUUCAUUCCAUGUCUUAACUAGUACAUGCUUAAUUGCCUCAUAUACCUUAAUUUGCUAUUUAUCAUUUAUUAUUCUUGUAUUAAAAUGUUAGUUUCUCCCAUGCUUCCAUGUUUAAUUAACUUGCUUGUAUUCUUUAGUUGUCAUUUAUUUGACUUAUCUUGCUUCUUAGUAAUAAUUUUAGCAAAUUCUUGAUUUGGUACCAGAUUUCCCUUAUGGCUCUACUUUCAUAUUCGUUAAUGAUAGAGAUUCUUAUGAUUUGAGUUGUUGAAUUGAUUUCAUUUAUUGAUUUGUGUUUAUGAAUUGGGUUACAUGCUGCAACAGGUGGAAUAAGGGAAGAUUGAUAUUAAUAUGGUGGGAUCGGGUUGCAUGCCUCAACAGAUGGAAUAAAGGAGGAUUGAUAUGAUGAAAUAAGGGAGGAUUAUGAUAUUGAUUCUAAUUUUAUGGUGGGAUCGAGUUGUGCGCCUCAACAUUAUUUUACUUGUUAUUAUUGAUAUUUACAUGAAGGAAUAAGGGAGGAUUGUGUUUGUACGGUGGGAUCGGGUUGCACGCCGCAACAAUUUAUGUGUUGGUAUUCCUUGCUGCAUUAUGUUGGGUUCGGUGUGUUCGUAUGAGAUUCUAAGGAUCUAUAUUUCUGGUUUUACUGGUUUUUAAGAAUUGACUUAUUUUUAUGAGUUAACUGCCUUAUUUUUCCUGUAUUUCCAUUCUUGUCAUUACUAUUAUAUUGCGUACAAGUUAUUACAAGUGACCCUCCUUAGCCUAGUCACUAUUUCAUUGAGGUUAGGCUCGGCACUUACAAAGUACAUAGGUUAGUUUUUAUCAUACUACACUCUAUACUUCUUGUGCAGACUUUGGAGUUAGUCCCAAUGGCGGUCAGUAGAUCACUUGGAUCAGACAUCUGACGGAUAUAACUGCUCAGUGUUUGCAGCCCUGG
rnacentral:lncRNA from 1 species